ACCUUACCAAGGCUUGACAUACUGGCUCAAGCUAAUGUGAAAGCAUUUUGUGCUGUAAGGCUUGCCUUACAUAGUCAGUACAGGUGCUGCAUGGCUGUCGUCAGCUCGUGCCGUGAGGUGUCCGGUUAAGUCCGGUAACGAGCGCAACCCCUAUGUUUAGUUGCCAGCACGUAAGGUGGGAACUCUAAAGAGACUGCCGGCGACAAGCCGGAGGAAGGCGGGGACGACGUCAAGUCAUCAUGGCCCUUAUGCCUUGGGCUACACACAUGCUACAAUGGCGGAUACAAUGGGUUGCCAAACUGUGAAGUGGAGCCAAUCCCAUCAAAGUCCGUCUCAGUUCGGAUUGCAGGCUGCAACUCACCUGCAUGAAGUUGGAAUCGCUAGUAAUCGUGGAUCAGCACUGCCACGGUGAAUACGUUCCCGGGCCUUGCACACACCGCCCGUCACACCACGAAAGUCGGUUCUACCCGAAGUGGUUGAGCUAACCCGCAAGGGGGGCAGACUCCUAAGGUAGGGCUGGUGAUUGGGGUGAAGUCGUAACAAGGUAGCCGUAA
rnacentral:rRNA from 1 species